rnacentral:rRNA from 1 species
UACGUAGGUGGCAAGCGUUGUCCGGAAUUACUGGGCGUAAAGGGCGCGUAGGCGGCCUGCUAAGUCGAACGUGAAAUCCCUCGGCUUAACCGGGGAACUGCAUCUGAUACUGGAUGGCUUGAGAUUGGGAGAGGGAUGCGGAAUUCCAGGUGUAGCGGUGAAAUGCGUAGAUAUCUGGAGGAACACCGGUGGCGAAGGCGGCAUCCUGGACCAACACUGACGCUGAGGAGCGAAAGCCAGGGGAGCAAACGGG